rnacentral:rRNA from 1 species
AUUGAACGCUGGCGGCAGGCCUAACACAUGCAAGUCGAACGGUAACAGGAAGAAGCUUGCUUCUUUGCUGACGAGUGGCGGACGGGUGAGGAAUGUCUGGGAAACUGCCUGAUGGAGGGGGAUAACUACUGGAAACGGUAGCUAAUACCGCAUAAUGUCGCAAGACCAAAGAGGGGGACCUUCGGGCCUCUUGCCAUCGGAUGUGCCCAGAUGGGAUUAGCUAGUAGGUGGGGUAACGGCUCACCUAGGCGACGAUCCCUAGCUGGUCUGAGAGGAUGACCAGCCACACUGGAACUGAGACACGGUCCAGACUCCUACGGGAGGCAGCAGUGGGGAAUAUUGCACAAUGGGCGCAAGCCUGAUGCAGCUAUGCCGCGUGUAUGAAGAAGGCAUUCGGGUUGUAAAGUACUUUCAGCGGGGAGGAAGGGAGUAAAGUUAAUACCUUUGCUCAUUGACGUUACCCGCAGAAGAAGCACCGGCUAACGCCGUG